rnacentral:rRNA from 1 species
UAGGGAAUAUUGGACAAUGGGUGAGAGCCUGAUCCAGCCAUGCCGCGUGUGUGAAGAAGGUCUUCGGAUUGUAAAGCACUUUAAGUUGGGAGGAAGGGCAGUUACCUAAUACGUGAUUGUUUUGACGUUACCGACAGAAUAAGCACCGGCUAACUCUGUGCCAGCAGCCGCGGUAAUACAGAGGGUGCAAGCGUUAAUCGGAAUUACUGGGCGUAAAGCGCGCGUAGGUGGUUAGUUAAGUUGGAUGUGAAAUCCCCGGGCUCAACCUGGGAACUGCAUUCAAAACUGACUGACUAGAGUAUGGUAGAGGGUGGUGGAAUUUCCUGUGUAGCGGUGAAAUGCGUAGAUAUAGGAAGGAACACCGGUGGCGAAGGCGACCACCUGGACUGAUACUGACACUGAGGUGCGAAAGCGUGGGGAGCAAACAGGAUUAGAUACCUCCGUAGUCCCUGAGCGGGCUGGCAAGGCGCAU